rnacentral:tRNA from 1 species
GGGCCCAUAGCUCAGCUGGUAGAGCAGCGGACUCAUAAUCCGUUAGCCGUAGGUUCGAGUCCUACUGGGCCCA